UUGUAUUCAAGUGUAUUCGACUGUAUUUAUGGCAUGAAACAUGGAAUUACACUGUUUUUAAACGGAAAGUGAAUCAAUUAACAUAAUAGACUCUU
rnacentral:pre_miRNA from 1 species